ACGAACGCUGGCGGCGUGCCUAAUACCUGCAAGUUGAGCGCUGAAGGUUGGUACUUGUACCAACUGGAUGAGCAGCGAACGGGUGAGUAACGCGUGGGGAAUCUGCCUUUGAGCGGGGGACAACAUUUGGAAACGAAUGCUAAUACCGCAUAAAAACUUUAAACACAAGUUUUAAGUUUGAAAGAUGCAAUUGCAUCACUCAAAGAUGAUCCCGCGUUGUAUUAGCUAGUUGGUGAGGUAAAGGCUCACCAAGGCGAUGAUACAUAGCCGACCUGAGAGGGUGAUCGGCCACAUUGGGACUGAGACACGGCCCAAACUCCUACGGGAGGCAGCAGUAGGGAAUCUUCGGCAAUGGACGAAAGUCUGACCGAGCAACGCCGCGUGAGUGAAGAAGGUUUUCGGAUCGUAAAACUCUGUUGGUAGAGAAGAACGUUGGUGAGAGUGGAAAGCUCAUCAAGUGACGGUAACUACCCAGAAAGGGACGGCGAACUACGU
rnacentral:rRNA from 1 species